UAGUUUAUUUCAUCCAAGACAUUCCAAAUCUCCCGUUUGAGGUUUGGCUCAUAGUUGCAGCGGAAACGGCAGACAGUACUCUACCAUGGACACAGGUUUUCAGUGUCUCAUGCCAUACCUUGAUCUGAACUGGAGUCCUCAGUAUUUAAUAUCUACAAAUUAAAUUUUAUGCAGGAUGCAGGUGUUCAAACUUCAAAUUUCCCUGGUAUUAGAUAUCGUCAGUGCUGACAGCAGACUUUAAACAGCAAUUAAGGGUUUUCUUUUUGGAGCGGAGUGGUGAACUGUUCCAUGGUACACGGCUACAGCUCAACUAUUGUAUGUUACACCUACACCAGACAGUGUUGAUCUCACUGUUCCAGAUAGUACCUUUGCGCUUCCCUGUCUCGCCUUAUUUGGGGACAAAAAAAUACGCUCUAAUUCUGAAAUUCUGAUUCAUAGAAUCGCGUAAUUUCCCCGGAAAAUCACCAUCCCAAGAUAAGGACCCCUUAUCAUCCCAAGUGUUACCUGGAGACGAAAAGCAUCACUGUUGUUCAAAUUUCCCUGGUGUCCGGUGCCCAGAUGGACAGGAAGCCGCCACAGUUUCCCUUUUGUUAGUUUUUCCCCGGCGAGCGGCCAUGGUUUUCCCUGUCGCCCUCGCCGGUCGCCGUCGGGGUCACGCUGCAGAACAGUUCCAAGUUUUAGUUGUUAGCACCAGUGUCAGGACCUGCAUCGAGCUCCGAUCCUAUGCGGAUGGAUGGAUGUCAAGGCAACAACAAACCAAUAAGCUUUGAAUUAAACUUGGCAAAAAUGAAACACAUGGCCAUCAGUGCUCCAGCGCACUGUCUGCAAGCAAAGCUCACAGCCUCUCUCCUAAUCUCCUCCCUGUUGCCGUCACAGUUGCUUCGUGCUGACAAAUUGGCAAUUAAGUUUGUCUGUUGAAUUAUCAUGUAGUAGGAGUGUUUUUUUUCGUGCAUGAACUGUUGGUGAAAUCGAUGUGUCGAUGGAGUUUGAAUUGUUUAUUUUAUUUUGUUUUUGGUGUUGCGUGAAUUGUGAUGUCUAUAUAAGCGCGCCUAUUCACAUCGCCCCCUUUUGCGACGCACACCAUUCUUUUUUCUUGAUACUUUUGUACUGGGUGCGUUGUGUUGGUUACACCACCAUGGAGAUGGGACGAUCGGGAAAUGGUGGCGGCAAGGUGGUCACCUUCGACGACUCGGUAGCCGGGAGGCGCCGGAACGGCGGCUCCCUCUCGUCGUACCUCGACGUUGGCAACAAGGAUGCCGUCGAAGCCGGCCGUGCCGCGCGGCCCAUGCCCGGCAUGGGCAGUCGGCGCCGCACGUACGCUGA
rnacentral:lncRNA from 1 species